GUGCCAGCCGCCGCGGUAAUACGGAGGAUCCAAGCGUUAUCCGGAUUUAUUGGGUUUAAAGGGUGCGUAGGCGGCCAAUUAAGUCAGGGGUGAAAGACGGUAGCUUAACUAUCGCAGUGCCUUUGAUACUGAUUGGCUUGAAUCCACUUGAGGUAGGCGGAAUGUGACAAGUAGCGGUGAAAUGCAUAGAUAUGUCACAGAACACCAAUUGCGAAGGCAGCUUACUAAAGUGGCAUUGACGCUGAGGCACGAAAGCGUGGGGAUCAAACAGGAUUAGAUACCCGCGUAGUCC
rnacentral:rRNA from 1 species